rnacentral:tRNA from 2 species
GGAGAGGUGGCAGAGUGGUCGAAUGCACCGGUCUUGAAAACCGGCGUGGGGAAACCCACCGGGGGUUCGAAUCCCCCCCUCUCCG